rnacentral:rRNA from 1 species
GACAGAGGGGGCAAGCGUUGUCCGGAGUUACUGGGCGUAAAGGGCGCGGAGGCGGCCUGCGGCGUCGGCGCUGAAAGCGCCCCGCUUAACGGGGCGAGGCGUGCCGAUACGCGCAGGCUCGAGGCGAGCAGAGGGUGGUGGAAUUCCGGGUGGAGCGGUGAAAUGCGUAGAGAUCCGGAGGAACGCCAGUGGGGAAGCCGGCCACCUGGGCUCGUCCUGACGCUGCGGCGCGACCGCGUGGGGAGCAAACCGG